rnacentral:rRNA from 1 species
AUACGGAGGGGGCAAGCGUUGUUCGGAAUUACUGGGCGUAAAGGGCGCGCAGGCGGUUUUGUUAGUCAGGCGUGAAAUCCCCGGGCUUAACCUGGGAAUUGCGUUUGAUACUGCAAAACUAGAGUUCGGGAGAGGGUAGUGGAAUUCCCAGUGUAGAGGUGAAAUUCGUGGAUAUUGGGAAGAACACCAGUGGCGAAGGCGGCUACCUGGACCGAUACUGACGCUGAGGCGCGAAAGCGUGGGGAGCAAACAGGAUUAGAAACCCUAGUAGUCC